rnacentral:rRNA from 1 species
GACGAACGCUGGCGGCGUGCCUAAUACAUGCAAGUAGAACGCACAGUUUAUACCGUAGCUUGCUACACCAUAGACUGUGAGUUGCGAACGGGUGAGUAACGCGUAGGUAACCUGCCUGGUAGCGGGGGAUAACUAUUGGAAACGAUAGCUAAUACCGCAUAAUAUUAAUUAUUGCAUGAUAAUUAAUUGAAAGGUGCAAUUGCACCACUACCAGCUGGACCUGCGUUGUAUUAGCUAGUAGGUGAGGUAACGGCUCACCUAGGCGACGAUACAUAGCCGACCUGAGAGGGUGAACGGCCACACUGGGAAUGAGACACGGCCCAGACUCCUACGGGAGGCAGCAGGAGGGAAUCUUCGGCAAUGGACGGAAGGCUGGACGAGCAACGCCGCGUGAGUGAAGAAGGUUUUCGGAUCGUAAAGCUCUGUUGUAAGAGAAGAACGGGUGUGAGAGUGGAAAGUUCACACUGUGACGGUAUCUUACCAGAAAGGGACGGCUAACUACGUG